rnacentral:rRNA from 1 species
GGACUACUGGGGUAUCUAAUCCCGUUUGCUCCCCUGGCUUUCGCGCCUCAGCGUCAGUAGAGAUCCAGCAGCUCGCUUUCGCCACCGGAGUUCCUUCCGAUAUCAACGCAUUUCACCGCUCCACCGGAAGUUCCAGCUGCCCCUAUCUCCCUCCAGUUCAUCAGUAUCCCAGGCACUUUUCCGGUUAAGCCGAAAGAUUUCACCCCAGACUUGAUGAACCGCCUACGCGCCCUUUAAGCCCAGUGAUUCCGAACAACGUUCGCACGGUUCGUCUUACCGCGGCUGCUGGCAC